AAGGGUAAGUAGAGUGGCGCACGGGUGAGUAACACGUGGACAACCUGCCUUCGAGUGGGGAAUAACCUUCCGAAAGGAGGGCUAAUACCGCAUAACACCUCGGGACACAAGUUCUGGGGUUGAAAAGAGCAAUUUGCUCGAAGAGGGGUCCGCGCCUGAUUAGCUAGUUGGUGGGGUAACGGCUCACCAAGGCUUCGAUCAGUAGCCGUCCUGAGAGGGAGCACGGCCACACUGGAACUGAGACACGGUCCAGACUCCUACGGGAGGCAGCAGUGGGGAAUUUUUGGCAAUGGGCGCAAGCCUGACCAAGCAACGCCGCGUGGGUGAUGAAGUAUCUUGGUACGUAAAGCCCUUUCGGCAGGGACGAACCUAAUGACGGUACCUGCGGAAGAAGCCCCGGCUAACUCCGUGCCAGCAGCCGCGGUAAUACGGGGGGGGCAAGCGUUGUUCGGAAUUACUGGGCGUAAAGGGCGCGUAGGCGGUUGGAUAAGUCAGCUGUGAAAACCACGGGCUUAACUCGUGGCCUGCAGUUGAGACUGUCUGGCUUGAGUGUGGGAGAGGAGAGUGGAAUUCCUGGUGUAGCGGUGAAAUGCGUAGAUAUCAGGAGGAACACCGGUGGCGAAGGCGGCUCUCUGGACCACAACUGACGCUGAGGCGCGAAAGCUAGGGGAGCAAACAGGAUUAGAUACCCUGGUAGUCCUAGCUGUAAACGAUGGAUAC
rnacentral:rRNA from 1 species